CAACGCCGUCGAGCCGUUGAAACUGGCGUUCUUGAGUGGGCGAGAAGUAUGCGGAAUGCGUGGUGUAGCGGUGAAAUGCAUAGAUAUCACGCAGAACUCCGAUUGCGAAGGCAGCAUACCGGCGCCCUACUGACGCUGAGGCACGAAAGCGUGGGUAUCGAACAGGAUUAGAUACCCUGGUAGUCCACGCAGUAAACGAUGAAUGCUAACUGUCCGGUGCGAGUGAGCGCUGGGCGGUACAGCGAAAGCGUUAAGCAUUCCACCUGGGGAGUACGCCGGCAACGGUGAAACUCAAAGGAAUUGACGGGGGCCCGCACAAGCGGAGGAACAUGUGGUUUAAUUCGAUGAUACGCGAGGAACCUUACCCGGGCUCAAACGCAGGCUGACGGGUCCCGAAAGGGGCCUUUCUUCGGACAUUCUGCGAGGUGCUGCAUGGUUGUCGUCAGCUCGUGCCGUGAGGUGUCGGCUUAAGUGCCAUAACGAGCGCAACCCCUGUCCACAGUUGCCAGCAGGUAAAGCUGGGGACUCUGUGGAGACUGCCGGCGCAAGCUGCGAGGAAGGCGGGGAUGACGUCAAAUCAGCACGGCCCUUACGUCCGGGGCGACACACGUGUUACAAUGGCAGGUACAGCGGGAUGCCACGGGGCGACCCGGCGCUGAACCCGAAAACCUGUCUCAGUUCGGAUUGGAGUCUGCAACCCGACUCCAUGAAGCUGGAUUCGCUAGUAAUCGCGCAUCAGCCACGGCGCGGUGAAUACGUUCCCGGGCCUUGUACACACCGCCCGUCAAGCCAUGGAAGCCGGGGGUACCUGAAGUGCGUGACCGCGAGGAGCGCCCUAGGGUAAAACCGGUGACUGGGGCUAAGUCGUAACAAGGUAGCCGUAA
rnacentral:rRNA from 1 species